rfam:Edhazardia aedis TSNM 41457 supercont1.16, whole genome shotgun sequence.
GGGUUUGUAGCUUAGCGGUUAGAGCAGUUGAUUGCAGAUUAACAGGUCCCCGGUUCGAGUCCGGGCAAGCCCU